GGCGGGUGCCUGUAAUCCCAGCUACUUGGGAGGCUAAUACAAGAGAAUCUCUUGAACCCAGGAGGCAGAGGUUGCAGUGAGCUGAGAUCGUGCAACCGCACUCCAGCCUGGGUGACAGAGCCAGACUCCAUCUCAAAAAAAGGAAAAAGAAAUACCCAGAAUGUUACAUGUGCACUCAAGCACUGAAUUGAAUGAAGUACUGGUUUUGGUGGUAACUACAGCUUUCCAUUGCUUAAAACCCUUUCAGGCUGGACGUGGUGGCUCAUGCCCAUAAUCCCAAUGCUUUGGGAGGCUGAGGUGAGAGGAUCAUCUGAUCCAGGAGUUCAAGACCAGCUGGGGCAACGUAGCAAGACCCCAUCUCCACAAACUUACAAAAAAUUAGCUAAGUAUGGUGGUGCAUGCCUGUAGUCCCAGUUACUCCAGAGGCUAAGGCAAGAGGGUUGCUUGAGCCUGGGAGGUUGAGGUUGUAGUGAGCUAUGAUCAUGCCACUGAACUCCAGCCUGUGUGACAGAGCGAGGCCCUGUCUCAAUCAAUCAAUCAAUCAAUCAAUCAAUCAAUCCUUUCAAAAUAUCUUAUUGCUGUUUAGUUUCCAUUUUCCAGGUUUUUAAUGAGGCUAAGGAGCUUUUCAAAGGUUCACUCUUCCUGCCUAGCCAUUUGGGCUGUGUAGUUCAAGAGGAUCUGUAGCAUCUUUUUACAAAGAAGAAGGUUAAGGCGUUAGGGGAGGAGCAGGGAGAACAGGAGGAAGGAGCUCCCAGGCCCUGUUUUCAGCCCUUCCUUCCCCUCCUCUUUUCUUUUUUGAGGCCUGCUCCAUUCUCUUAGGGCCUGACCCUGACCUGCCAACCCCAGAUAAGGUGUUGUGACUAGGCCCUCCUUCCCCCAGGGUUCCCCCUGGAGAGACCCAAGGCAAUGGAUGGAGGAGCAUUGGCCCCACCCCAUCUCCUCACCCCACUUAAGGGAACAGCAUCUGAGGACAGGUGGCAGCAGGUAGUGUGGCCCCACCUCACUUCACAUUGCAGGGAGCUCUGUCACUUUGCUCCUUUGUUGCAAAUGCCAUUGGAAAGGCCAGUGCUGUGCUGCCUAGUGAGGUCUUCAAGGUGUUGGCCGGAUGCUUGAAGAAAGUGGAAGCCAUGGAAGGUUGUAUUCAGGAGAGGGGCAUGGCCCCUUCUGAGCAUGUUUCCACUGGUGGGAGGCCAUAGAGAGAAUGAUAAGGAAGGAGAAUGAGGCCACGUGGAUGACAGCUAACCCCUGCUGAGAGCCCAUUCUGAGCCGUGCACUGUAUGCCAUUUACUGGCAAAAGAGCAUGAGUAGGUGGUCAAGGUCGCCCAGCUGACAAGUGACAAAGUCAGAGCCAUCACAUUUCACCUGAGAUUCCUCCCCAGUUGUUUCAGGCAUGUUCGAUUUGUUUCCUAGCAAUAACUUUGCAAGGAUGGUCCUACUGUCCCCAUUCACAGAUGGGAAAACUGAGGGCAAAUGGUAGAGCCAAGUAAUGAAUGUGUUCUGCUUGGUCUUUACUUCUCAUGGAUACUCAAGGAAGGCAGCAGGUCUGGGCAAAGAAGGAAGGUGUUUCUUCACCAGAAGCAAAAUUUGUGUUGGAAAAGGGAUCUUAGAAAAGCCCCAGCCUCGACAUUCCUGAGCUCAGCCUCAGGGCUUUAUACAUACUUUGAUGAACACUUAAUAUGUUGCAAUUUUUCUGUUCUACCACAGGGUCAGCGCAUACAGUUGUAUAGGUUAUGCACUGCACAACUCAUGGAGUUCCAUGGCCUAAACCUGAGGGACCCAUCUUGCAGUCUCUGAGAUGGUGUGGAGUGGCGUCCACAGAUGAGGGCUUUGCUGACAAGUAGCGGGGUUUGAAUCUAGUCUUGGUUACUGGGUCGAGGAGCUUUUUCUAUUCUCCUUGAUCCCAUUUCCUCAUCUGUGAAGUGGAGAUGGUAUCAUCAUCUCUUCUCCCUCGGGGACUGUCAGGAUAGCAGGAGAGAACACACGGCAUAUGGCCCUUUACACAGGGCCUGGUACUAGUGGGGCCUUGGUAGAGUUCAGUUUCUCAUACUUCUGUCUCUCUGAGUGGACUUGAGGGCAGGCAGAGGCCCUGUCUAACUCAUUCCUGCAUCCCCAGCGCCCAGCGCUGUCCUUGCACGUGGGAGGGACUAGGCACCCAUUUGCUAAGGGACCAGAGAAAUCAUGCUGGAGGCAGAGAGGGGAUUUGGGGAACACUGGGGCAGCAGGCCCCAGUCCGGCAUCCCCACCCCACCUUUUCCCUCUUGGAGACAGCCUGGUCUGAGUUAUUUCCCUUCCCGACACUUCCCUGCCUCCAGGGCACAUUUUCUCCAGGUGAGUCCACCCAGGCAGAGGGCGAAGCCAGCAGGCACAGGCUGGAUUCCUGCAGAGGCGCGCAUUUCAUUUGGCCUGCACCAUGGCUUCACAUUUUUAAAAUUAGUUGCCGAUAUUUUACAAUUUGGAGAUUUCACCUAGAAACCUGGAUUUCCAGCUAUUCUUGAAAAAUCAAAAGAUCUAGCAGCCCUGGGCCUGCAGCUGGCAGCUGGUGUGCAGCAGCCACUGUUCCUUUGUGUUGGGUAUAUGCUGCUCAGUUUGCCACCAGAUCCACCUGGUCCAAGUCCCCCUCCCUUAUGACUCCUGCCCUUCCCCUGGUGAACCUGCAACCCCUGGCUCUAUGGAGCGCCCGGGCCAUCCCACUAACCUCACAGGUCUUGGUUUGGCAAAUCAUGACCGUGCCAGGGUCUUUGCCUGUGGAACGAGGAUCUGUGGGGGUGCCUUCCAAAUGUGCCAACCAAUGCUCACGACCAAGCCUUCAGUGUAACGAUCUGCCCACUUUCUCCUCCUCCCCCUGCCUCCGUGAGCCAGCGAAGCUGCUGCCCUGUUUGGGGACACAAACAUACACACGUUAUUAGAACCUCAGAUCAAAGGCGGCGUCCUACAGCCUGCCUCUCAAUGGUCCCUUUGUGCAGGCGGAAGCCUGCAAGAGAGUUAGAAUCCAGGGAGAACAGGAGGGGCUGGAGGGGGGCUCAAAACAAAGAUACUUGUCACCCUGAGAAGUCCGCAGAAAUGAUGUUAAAAGAGGCGCCAGGUGGAGGAUGUACCCCGGCUCGCUGCUGGAAGAUGCAAAUGGAGAAUUCUCAGUUCUGCAGAGGAGAAGAAAACACCCCUGUCCCUUGUGGUUUCAGAGGAAGGGGUGACAGUGGCUGCCCACCCCCUCCGCCAGCAGCAGCCUGCGUCUGCCUUCCUGGCCUCGCCAGGGGUGGAUGUGAUACUGGCAAGGGCUUCUUGGAACGAAAAGGGUUGGUUUGAACAAAGAAGUGCUUUGAGAGUUCAGAUGUGGAGCCAGGAACCCUGCCUGCCAUGGGAUGCAGGGAGAGGGGGUGGCGAGCAGCCCACAGCGACCCCAAGAAGCUGCUCCAACCCCUGGGACUAUGGAGCUCUACAGCUGUAGAGACCACCAGGAAGUGGACUGCAGGCCCCUGGCCUCUCCAUUCAGAUUCUGCAAAGAGAUCCUGAUGGGUUGGGCCAAUGGGUCAGGCAUCCAGUCAGCUCUGGCUAAGGGGUGAAGGAGUCAGGUGUUACCAACGUGGUGGCAGGGGCCACCUUGAAGCUGUGUUCUGUGCCAUGGAAGAAGGAAGAGGAGGAGGAAGCUAAGCUGGAAGGGAAGGCAGUCUAGGCUCCUGGAGUCAGUAGUUGGAAUCUCAGAUGGGAAGAAACCUUAAAAGUCAUCUGGUCCAGUAUUUUCCAAAGCAUGUUCCAUGAACUUGUUUUCCAGAAAUGGUUUCCUGGUCUGGUGAGUGGGAGUUCGAUGAGAGUGGCAGUUGUCUAUUUUGUUCACCGAUGUAUCUUAGGUGACUAAAACAAUGGUUGUCACAUGGCUGGCCCUUCAUAUUUGUUUCCAGAUGGAAGACUCUCUUUCUAGUGGUGGAACAUUAGUUUUGCACUGUGUUGGGACAACCUGAUGUAGUGAAAACAAGCCUGGGCAAUGAAAUCAACAGAUUGGAGUUCAGUUCCUAAUUGGGUCAUGGAUGAACUUUGUGACCUUGGGCAAGUGAGUUCACCUCUCUGAGUUGAAUAGGUUCCCUCCUUUCUAGAACAAGUAUGAGUCUGCAUCAGAGAGUGGUUGCGAGGGCUACACAUGAUGGAGGAUGAGGACUGGCACAUCAGAAGUACUGAAUGAAGAAUUGUAACAUAAAAAUGACAACAGUAAUAUAUUUUUGUGGUUUCAGCACUCUUCAAAUGAAACCACCUGGCCAACAGGAUUUUAGUGUACCUGCUUAUAACAUUAGCCUUCGUUUCCACCAAAAAGGGUGUUAAAAAAGGAAGCUUGGAACAUGAAAGUAAGACACUUGGAUGAAGAGAUUUAUGACUCUGGGGGGCUGUGAAUUCCUAAUGUCCUUUUGAGACAUGUAGAUCUUCCAGAGCGAUGCUGCCCAAUGCAGUAGCCACUAGCCAAGUGCAAAUGGUCACUUGCAAUAUGGCUAGUCUUUGAGAUGUGUUUUAAGUGUAAAAUACACACUGAAUUUUAAAGACUUAGCGCAAUACAAAGAAUGUAAAAUAUCUCAUUAUAUCUUGAAAUUAUACUAUUUUGGAUAUAUGGUGUUCCCUUGGUGUCUUUGGGGACUGGUUCCAGGAUCCUAGAGGAUACCCAAAUCCCCAGAUGUCAAGUCCGCUAUAUAAAAUGUCCUGUAGUAUUUGCAUAUAACCUACACACAUCCUUCUGAAUACUUUAAAUCAUCUCUAGAUUCCUUGUAAUUCCUAAUACAAUGUAAAUGUUAUGUAAAUAGUUGUUAUACUAUAUUAAAAAGUUUUUUAUUCUUU
rnacentral:lncRNA from 1 species